GUAGGUGUCACUUGUUAAUAUCCUCCUGCCCUGUCAUUUUACACCUCCUACCAUUAUGCAAACUUCAUCCGUGCAUUACUUCAAUAAAACUGGAGCACCAAAGAGCAGAUCAGUACAGCCUCCACUUCAACCAUGUUGCCAGUUUAUUUCCUGGUGCUGCUUGGAGCUACGUCCUCUGUAUUUGGUGCAGUUGAUUUCACACAGCCAGGUCAUGUGAUUGUCCAGCCAGGACAGGCUUUAACUAUUGCAUGUAAAGUGUCUGGAUGGAGUUUGACUGAUAGCAGCUAUUGUACAAACUGGAUCCGACAUGCUACAGGAAAAGCGAUGCAGUGGAUUGGAUACAUUUGUAGCAGUGGAGCCACAGGAUUCACAGAUUCACUGAAAAACAGGUUCAGCAUCACUCAGGACACGUCCAGUAACACGGUGACUCUCAACGGUCAGAAUGUGCAGAUGGAAGACACAGCUGUGUAUUAUUGUGUGCGAUACAAUGACACAGUGAUGUGCUUAACCAGAGUGCCUGUACAAAAACCAUUUCAGAUCGGCUUCCUGGCCUUCAUCAUCGAUGUCAUCAUCAUCUUUGGGCUUAAAGCCACUAACUGACCUUAAUAUUUAUUUUAUUAGUAAUUUGCUCAGUAAUUUAACAUGCUCUAAAUAUAAAAGGUGGAGUGAAACAUGAAGUAAUGAGGAAAAUAUUUGAUUGCUGAUUUUGUUUAUAAUAAAAAUCUCUGGGGUUCAGUUUCCUGCUGAGGGAAUAUUUACAGCUCAUGAGGACGUGUUUGUGUAAGUUGUUGUACAGCUCUGCAGUCUGUUGUAUC